rnacentral:rRNA from 1 species
GGGCGUAAAGAGCUCGUAGGCGGUUCGACAAGUCGGGUGUUAAACCCCCAGGCUCAACCUGGGGCCGCCACCCGAAACUGUUGUGACUAGAGUUUGGUAGGGGAUCACGGAAUUCCUGGUGUAGCGGUGGAAUGCGCAGAUAUCAGGAGGAACACCAGUAGCGAAGGCGGUGAUCUGGGCCAAUACUGACGCUGAGGAGCGAAAGCGUGGGGAGCGAACAGGAUUAGAUACCCUGGUAGUCCGCGCCGUAAACGGUGGGCACUAGGUGUGGGGACUUUUCAACGGUUUCCGCGCCGCAGCUAACGCAUUAAGUGCCCCGCCUGGGGAGUACGGUCGCAAGACUAAAACUCAAAGAAAUUGACGGGGGCCCGCACAAGCAGCGGAGCAUGUGGCUUAAUUCGAUGCAACGCGAAAAACCUUACCUAGAUUUGACAUGCUGGGAAAAGCCACAGAGAUGUGGUGUCCUUCGGGGCCCAGCACAGGUGGUGCAUGGCUGUCGUCAGCUCGUGUCGUGAGAUGUUGGGUUAAGUCCCGCAACGAGCGCAACCCUUGUUCUAUGUUGCCAGCGCGUAAUGGUGGGGACUCGUAGAAGACUGCCGGGGUCAACUCGGAGGAAGGUGGGGACGACGUCAAGUCAUCAUGCCCCUUACGUCUAGGGCUGCACACAUGCUACAAUGGGCGGUACAGAGGGCUGCUAAACCGCGAGGUGGAGCCAAUCCCUAAAACCGCUCUCAGUUCAGAUUGCAGGCUGCAACUCGCCUGCAUGAAGUUGGAGUUGCUAGUAAUCCCGGAUCAG